GGCUAGAUCUGGCAGGAGAUGAAGAUACUUAUACAGGUGAUUGCACAACAGCACCAUGGAUGCUCUGAGGAGGGUGCUAGAGGAGCACCCAGAUGGAAGCAGGAAAGGCUUCUCGGAGGAAGAGAUGUUGCAGCUGAGAGGUGAAGGGUGAUAACACACCAUACAUGCUCUUCAGCAUGUGGCUUCUUUCGCUUAACAAUAUGUCUGGGAGGCAGCUCCACCUCAGAGCAUAAAGAGCUCUCUUUGAAAAGGCCACAGAAUAUUCCAUUAGGUGGAUAUACAAGACUUAACCUGCCAUUGUCCAUGGGCACGAAGAAUGCAGAGGCUUCUUUGAUCUUUACAGUACGGCUCCCUUGCACAAUGACUGGCUCACAGCAGCACUCCGGAUGAACACGCCCUGCCGGGGGUAGAGCUGAUAACUGGGAGG